rnacentral:rRNA from 1 species
UACGUAGGGUGCAAGCGUUGUCCGGAAUUAUUGGGCGUAAAGAGCUCGUAGGCGGUCUGUCGCGUCGGCUGUGAAAACUCGGGGCUCAACCCCGAGCCUGCAGUGGGUACGGGCAGACUAGAGUGCGGUAGGGGAGACUGGAAUUCCUGGUGUAGCGGUGAAAUGCGCAGAUAUCAGGAGGAACACCGGUGGCGAAGGCGGGUCUCUGGGCCGUAACUGACGCUGAGGAGCGAAAGCGUGGGGAGCGAACAGG